GAUGAACGCUGGCGGCGUGCCUAAUACAUGCAAGUCGAGCGAACAGACGAGGAGCUUGCUCCUCUGACGUUAGCGGCGGACGGGUGAGUAACACGUGGAUAACCUACCUAUAAGACUGGGAUAACUUCGGGAAACCGGAGCUAAUACCGGAUAAUAUAUUGAACCGCAUGGUUCAAUAGUGAAAGACGGUUUUGCUGUCACUUAUAGAUGGAUCCGCGCCGCAUUAGCUAGUUGGUAAGGUAACGGCUUACCAAGGCAACGAUGGGUAGCCGACCUGAGAGGGUGAUCGGCCACACUGGCACUGAGACACGGUCCAGACUCCGACGGGAGGCAGCAGUAGGGAAUCUUCCGCAAUGGGCGAAAGCCUGACGGAGCAACGCCGCGUGAGUGAUGAAGGUCUUCGGAUCGUAAAACUCUGUUAUUAGGGAAGAACAAAUGUGUAAGUAACUAUGCACGUCUUGACGGUACCUAAUCAGAAAGCCACGGCUAACUACGUG
rnacentral:rRNA from 1 species